rnacentral:rRNA from 12 species
UGUGGCCACACCGUCCUGCGAGUGCCCGAUCCCAUCUGAUCUUGGAAACUAAACAGGGCCGGGUCUGGUUAGUACUUGGAUGGGAGGCAGCCUUGGAAGACCAGAGGCCGUUAAAC